GACGAACGCUGGCGGCGUGCCUAACACAUGCAAGUCGAGCGAGGAGAGUUCCUUCGGGAACAAACCUAGCGGCGGACGGGUGAGUAACACGUGGGCAACCUGCCUUGUAGAGGGAAUAGCCUUCCGAAAGGAAGAUUAAUACCGCAUAACAUUACAGUUUCGCAUGAAACAGUAAUUAAAGGAGUAAUCCGCUACAAGAUGGGCCCGCGGCGCAUUAGCUAGUUGGUGAGGUAACGGCUCACCAAGGCGACGAUGCGUAGCCGACCUGAGAGGGUGAUCGGCCACAUUGGGACUGAGACACGGCCCAGACUCCUACGGGAGGCAGCAGUGGGGAAUAUUGCACAAUGGGGGAAACCCUGAUGCAGCAACGCCGCGUGUGUGAUGAAGGUUUUCGGAUCGUAAAGCUCUGUCUUCGGGGACGAUAAUGACGGUACCCGAGGAGGAAGCCACGGCUAACUACGUG
rnacentral:rRNA from 1 species